rnacentral:lncRNA from 1 species
UCUCCUACCACACAAGAGAUGGUAGGUGCACCAGGAUCCUUGAACUUAGGAGGGGUUUUGUGCUGGAGGAUGGAGCUCACUUGUUCAGUUAGGAAGACCUUUUUAGGCACAUGUAUCCUAGAUUUUCGUUUCUGGGUACAAAGGUCUUUGAAAAAUUCGGCAUACGAUGGAACUUGUUUUAUGGCAUCAAGAAGAGAGAGGUUGAUUUUGACUUGUUUGAAUACCUCCGUUAUUUCUUCCAAAGAAGUUCCUUUCUUGCCAAAGGAGGAAGGUGUAUUCAGACACUGAGGAAAAGGGGCCUUUGGUGUAAGAGGUGUGGUCGAUACUGGAUUAGAUGGGUUCUCUUUAGGCACAUUCACAUUCCUGUCUUCAUUUUUCUUAUGUUCUUUUUCU